CCUUGUACACACCGCCCGUCACACCACGAAAGCUGGAUGGACCUGAAAUCGUUGACCCAACCCGCAAGGGGGGAGGCGCCAACGGUCUGUUCGAUGAUUGGGGUG
rnacentral:rRNA from 1 species